rnacentral:rRNA from 1 species
UACGUAGGUGGCAAGCGUUGUUCGGAAUUACUGGGCGUAAAGGGCGCGUAGGCGGCCUGCUAAGUCGAACGUGAAAUCCCUGGGCUCAACCCAGGAACUGCGUCCGAUACUGGUUGGCUUGAAUUCGGGAGAGGGAUGUGGAAUUCCAGGUGUAGCGGUGAAAUGCGUAGAUAUCUGGAGGAACACCGGUGGCGAAGGCGGCAUCCUGGACCGAUAUUGACGCUGAUGCGCGAAAGCCAGGGGAGCAAACGGG